UACAGAGGGGGCAAGCGUUGUUCGGAAUUACUGGGCGUAAAGGGCGCGUAGGCGGCCUUCUAAGUCGAACGUGAAAUCCCCGGGCUCAACCCGGGAACUGCGUCCGAUACUGGAAGGCUUGAAUCCGGGAGAGGGAUGUGGAAUUCCAGGUGUAGCGGUGAAAUGCGUAGAUAUCUGGAGGAACACCGGUGGCGAAGGCGACAACCUGGACCGGUAUUGACGCUGAGGCGCGAAAGCCAGGGGAGCAAACGGG
rnacentral:rRNA from 1 species